ACACCUGAGUGACCAGAGGGGGAGGAGCCAGGAUCCAUCCCUUUCCAGACUUCUUGUAAGGGUUCGCAGUCAAAGCAAGGCCAUCUUGCUGGGGAUCUCUGUGUACCACUAGGCCUUCUGAAGUUUGCUCUCAGCAAAAUCCAAGCAGAAUGAGUUAUCAGAAAAUGGAUGAAAGAGUGCCCUCUGGAGGCAGAAUUCAACUGAAUAACAUUCCAAUUCUAAGAUACGGGGAAGAGGAAUUGGAGAACAUAAACAUUACGACCAUAGGUAGAAAUGUUGGCAUUGCUCAAGACUCACAUAAAUACAAACAAGAAUGAUGCUGCAUCUUAAUACAGAUUGAAGACCCUAAUUUUAAUGGGAUGUCUGUCAGUGUGCUGAAGCACUGCAUGGACUUGGCAGAGUUCCGGCACUAACAUUGCUUGAUGCAUGGAAAUGAAAAUUUGAUGAAGGCAUCCUUUGCAGUUUCUCUCACUUUAAUUCCUUUAAUCAAAGUUUUAAUCAAGUUAUCAUGUGGCUACACUGUGACUGUAAUUGUAUAUGUGGAUUUAUGUGCAACAUAUUAAAAAAUCU